AGGUAAUACAGGCAAUGUGUUUGUUCUGAGUAGUAGCUCAGGACAAGAAAACAAAUUCUAAACAACGCGCCGGCGCACUCAAAACUAGUGAAAAGAGGCAAUGCUAAAGAAUGCCAUCAAAUCGCCAAUCUGAGCUUUUUGAAGCAGCUUAAUCGUUUAGAAAAGGUCAGUUUUUCAACAUCUAUUCUCGUAUCAAUAUGAUAAGGGAUCGUGAAGAACAUAGAAAGAGCGGAAGCACCCCAGAAACAGAUUGAAACGGCAAAAAAGUUUCCAAUCAUCCCUUAUGUACAUCAGAUGGGGCAUGCGUUAAAAAAAGACAGCCAUGAAAUAUGGUGUACAAGUCGUCUUUUCAGCUAAAAACUCGUUAAACAAGAUUUCCAAUCGCGCCAAUAGACCAAAACAGGCGUCCAAGCUGCCCCGCGUCAAACACACGGGGCAGCUUGUGGCAUGCUCUUUGGGAGUGGUCUACGUUAUUCCACUUUCAUGUGGCAAAAAGUACUUUGGGCAGACGGGACAUUGCCUUAACAUCCACCUUAGGGAGCACCAAGGUGCGGCCAGGAUAGCAACAGGCUCGCAUAUGGGCACGUAUUGUUGAAAUUGCCCAUGCAAAUCUUGUUCGAAAAAAAAAAUUGAAAUAUUAUAAAAAAUAGAAAUCAAAUCAACCACGAAAUUAUGGAAACUACUUCAUGCAUGUCAACUAAACCGCAUGCAUUAGUCAGACUUCUAUCUUUCAGCAUACUAAGGAAACGGAGUUUUUGAAUGGCAAGAUAGGCUGACACUCUUUCACUAGUUGUACACGGUACUUCACAUGAUCGUAUUCUCUGUAUAUUUAAUAACUUUUGUGAAAAAGUAAUCUAGUUGUUAGUCUGCACUCGUAUCGUGCACUUCCUUUUGCCUUUUGUCUGUGUUGCGCUGUCCACGCUUUGGAAUAUGUUCAGUCACCCACUCGCCCAGCUUGCUGUGUUAAUACAAUCUUCAACCUGAAAAUGAGAAGAGUACUGUUGUGUUAGUAUUGUUUUACAACACUUGGUCGGAUUUGCAGAGGGAUACAAUAUUUUAAUUAUUACCUUAACUUUGUAUAUUACGUGAUAAUAGCUCGAUGGUGAUGGUGUUCUUUUUCUGCACUGCCUUACUUUUUGGCGCAUUGUUCACACCUGCCGCAUUAAACUAGUUCUUUACACCAAUAUCUUGCGAUGGUUUUGUACUUAUUAAGUGUCUUAAUUCCUAUGCUAUUUACGUUUUCCUUGGUUCUGGUUCCCAGGUUACGGGACCUAUACCCAUUAUCUCGAGCUGCCUAAGCUGGGGCCGCGGCUGGGACUUCUGGACCGUGGUCCUGGUCGUUGCGACUGUAAUCAAGGCUAUCAACACCCAUCGCAUCUGCAAUUUACUGGUGGAGCGAUCCAGAGAAGUUGAAAGCAAUAUGAGGCCAAACUAUCGAUCCGAAUGUUUUUACUUGAGGUUUUCAUUUUUGCGGACUUAUGCCUGGCAGGGCUGCCUUACUUUAACGCGGAAGAGUACUUGCCAGCGCAUGCCGCAUUAUUACUAUGCUACUUAAUUUUGUCGUGCUACGCCCAGCACCAGCAGCACAAGCUGAUGCUGCAGAGCAACAAUGGACCCACGGGAGUGUUCACCACAACACGCGAGACGCUUAUCACAUUCAGUGACGGUUUGUCAGACGUUCUCCUUUUAAGUGGAGCACUGAAGAAAGUCUUGGCUGAGUACUUCACCGACAAAUUUUUUUAUAAAUAUUCACCUACAAGUAGUCACCGCGCCCAUUCCUACUAUCUCAAGCUGCCUCAGCUUCUGCCGAGGAUGGGAUCUAUGGACGGCGAUAUUGAUAUUCAGUGGGGCAAUUAAGUGUAUAUACCUAAACCAGCUAGUUAAUUAUUUGAUCGGCCGGACGCCCCACAUUCCAGCAGACCAACGGCACCGAUUCUCAUCGGAAUCGUCAGAGAUGAGGCUCGCCACAGUCGCUGACGCGGCCUUAGCGGCGCUGCCGUAUUACAACACCAAGGACUACACUGUCCCUCACGGCUGCUUCUUGCUGGCGUAUGUUAUCAUCACAUUAGACGUAAUACGUCAACAGAAAAAACUGCUGGAACAAGGACGACCUGUGGUCGCAGCUUGGUACCGACAAAUCUCCUCCGUCCUGGUCUCCGCGAGCGACACAUGCUCCGGCAUGUUGUUACUUAGUGGAGCGGCCAAGGAGCUCAUCGCGAUAUAUAUGACGGAGAGUGAUUUCUACGCGUUUUGCGUAAAGCUAGUACACAUUCUUUUUGUCUGCUCGGAGCUGCUCGUUGCUUUGCUCCACUGCAUCUUCACCAUCACCACAAUGUGGUACCUGGCUUUUUAAGCACUUCACCAGGAACCUAUCCUCCACCAUCCACUGUGCUCCAGUUCUCCCUGUCAUCGACACAACCAUGAACCAUCUCACUUUACAGUCGCUUGUGUUUACUAACUCGCCUGUGUUUACUAACUCGCCUGUGUUUAGAUUAUCCUCGCAAUAGAAGAGAAAGGUGUUCGGCUUUCCGGUUACGUAACUGGUACUUAAGCUUAUGGCUCGUGAAUGUAAUUCCGUACGGCGUAUCUACGGCAUCUGUGGAGCUCACUGUACACGGUGCUGCACUGUUUGCCUUCGGAUACCUUUUUUCUGGAUUACAACUCUUGCCCAUCGUUCAGAGAGCCAAUAUAUAUAUUUUUUUCAAGCUUUUCGCACUCUAUUGUGUUCUUAUGUGGUUUGUGUUCUUUUCUGUA